rnacentral:rRNA from 1 species
AUGGAUCCUAUGUUCAAUCUUCUUGAUUGGUGGAGGGUGAAUGCACCUAGAUACCCCGUAUUGGCAAUGAUGGCAAAGAGGUUCUUGACUGUCCCGGCUACCUCCGUGUCUUCGGAAUCAACUUUUAGCACGGGUGGAAGAGUUUUAGAUGACUACAGGAGUUCUUUGAAACCAGAAAUGGUGGAAGCCUUGGUGUGCGGUGCUAGUUAUAUCAAAGGUUCUCACAAGGACUUCAAUGUGGUGGAGAGAGAUGAAGAUGAGGAGGACGAUGUUGAGAAUAUCAAGUUGCCCAAGAUUGUUGAUGUGGGGGAUAACAACAAUUGA